rnacentral:rRNA from 1 species
GGUUAAGCGACUAAGCGUACACGGUGGAUGCCCUGGCAGUCAGAGGCGAUGAAGGACGUGCUAAUCUGCGAAAAGCGUCGGUAAGGUGAUAUGAACCGUUAUAACCGGCGAUGUCCGAAUGGGGAAACCCAGUGCAAUUCGUUGCACUAUCGUUAACUGAAUACAUAGGUUAACGAGGCGAACCGGGGGAACUGAAACAUCUAAGUACCCCGAGGAAAAGAAAUCAACCGAGAUUCCCCCAGUAGCGGCGAGCGAACGGGGAGCAGCCCAGAGUCUGAAUCAGCUUGUGUGUUAGUGGAACGGUCUGGAAAGUCCGACGGUACAGGGUGAUAGUCCCGUACACCAAAAUGCACAGGCUGUGAACUCGAAGAGUAGGGCGGGACACGUGGUAUCCUGUCUGAAUAUGGGGGGACCAUCCUCCAAGGCUAAAUACUCCUGACUGACCGAUAGUGAACCAGUACCGUGAGGGAAAGGCGAAAAGAACCCCGGCGAGGGAGUGAAAAAGAACCUGAAACCGUGUACGUACAAGCAGUGGGAGCACCUUCGGGUGUGACUGCGUACCUUUUGUAUAAUGGGUCAGCGACUUAUAUUCUGUAGCAAGGUUAACCGUAUAGGGGAGCCGCAGGGAAACCGAGUCUUAACUGGGCGUUAAGUUGCAGGGUAUAGACCCGAAACCCGGUGAUCUAGCCAUGGGCAGGUUGAAGGUUGGGUAACACUAACUGGAGGACCGAACCGACUAAUGUUGAAAAAUUAGCGGAUGACUUGUGGCUGGGGGUGAAAGGCCAAUCAAACCGGGAGAUAGCUGGUUCUCCCCGAAAGCUAUUUAGGUAGCGCCUCGUGAACUCAUCUUCGGGGGUAGAGCACUGUUUCGGCUAGGGGGUCAUCCCGACUUACCAACCCGAUGCAAACUACGAAUACCGAAGAAUGUUAUCACGGGAGACACACGGCGGGUGCUAACGUCCGUCGUGAAGAGGGAAACAACCCAGACCGCCAGCUAAGGUCCCAAAGUCAUGGUUAAGUGGGAAACGAUGUGGGAAGGCACAGACAGCCAGGAUGUUGGCUUAGAAGCAGCCAUCAUUUAAAGAAAGCGUAAUAGCUCACUGGUCGAGUCGGCCUGCGCGGAAGAUGUAACGGGGCUAAACCAUGCACCGAAGCUGCGGCAGCGACACUAUGUGUUGUUGGGUAGGGGAGCGUUCUGUAAGCCUGCGAAGGUGUGCUGUGAGGCAUGCUGGAGGUAUCAGAAGUGCGAAUGCUGACAUAAGUAACGAUAAAGCGGGUGAAAAGCCCGCUCGCCGGAAGACCAAGGGUUCCUGUCCAACGUUAAUCGGGGCAGGGUGAGUCGACCCCUAAGGCGAGGCCGAAAGGCGUAGUCGAUGGGAAACAGGUUAAUAUUCCUGUACUUGGUGUUACUGCGAAGGGGGGACGGAGAAGGCUAUGUUAGCCGGGCGACGGUUGUCCCGGUUUAAGCAUGUAGGCUGGUUGUCCAGGCAAAUCCGGAUAAUCAAGGCUGAGGUGUGAUGACGAGGCACUACGGUGCUGAAGUAACAAAUGCCCUGCUUCCAGGAAAAGCCUCUAAGCAUCAGGUAACAUCAAAUCGUACCCCAAACCGACACAGGUGGUCAGGUAGAGAAUACCAAGGCGCUUGAGAGAACUCGGGUGAAGGAACUAGGCAAAAUGGUGCCGUAACUUCGGGAGAAGGCACGCUGGUGUGUAGGUGAAGCCCCUGCGGGUGGAGCUGAGACCAGUCGAAGAUACCAGCUGGCUGCAACUGUUUAUUAAAAACACAGCACUGUGCAAACACGAAAGUGGACGUAUACGGUGUGACGCCUGCCCGGUGCCGGAAGGUUAAUUGAUGGGGUUAUCCGUAAGGAGAAGCUCUUGAUCGAAGCCCCGGUAAACGGCGGCCGUAACUAUAACGGUCCUAAGGUAGCGAAAUUCCUUGUCGGGUAAGUUCCGACCUGCACGAAUGGCGUAAUGAUGGCCAGGCUGUCUCCACCCGAGACUCAGUGAAAUUGAACUCGCUGUGAAGAUGCAGUGUACCCGCGGCAAGACGGAAAGACCCCGUGAACCUUUACUAUAGCUUGACACUGAACAUUGAGCCUUGAUGUGUAGGAUAGGUGGGAGGCUUUGAAGCGUGGACGCCAGUCUGCGUGGAGCCAACCUUGAAAUACCACCCUUUAAUGUUUGAUGUUCUAACGUUGGCCCCUUACCGGGGUUGCGGACAGUGUCUGGUGGGUAGUUUGACUGGGGCGGUCUCCUCCCAAAGCGUAACGGAGGAGCACGAAGGUUAGCUAAUCCUGGUCGGACAUCAGGAGGUUAGUGCAAUGGCAUAAGCUAGCUUGACUGCGAGCGUGACGGCGCGAGCAGGUGCGAAAGCAGGUCAUAGUGAUCCGGUGGUUCUGAAUGGAAGGGCCAUCGCUCAACGGAUAAAAGGUACUCCGGGGAUAACAGGCUGAUACCGCCCAAGAGUUCAUAUCGACGGCGGUGUUUGGCACCUCGAUGUCGGCUCAUCACAUCCUGGGGCUGAAGUAGGUCCCAAGGGUAUGGCUGUUCGCCAUUUAAAGUGGUACGCGAGCUGGGUUUAGAACGUCGUGAGACAGUUCGGUCCCUAUCUGCCGUGGGCGCUGGAGAAUUGAGGGGGGCUGCUCCUAGUACGAGAGGACCGGAGUGGACGCAUCACUGGUGUUCGGGUUGUCAUGCCAAUGGCACUGCCCGGUAGCUAAAUGCGGAAGAGAUAAGUGCUGAAAGCAUCUAAGCACGAAACUUGCCCCGAGAUGAGUUCUCCCUGAGACUUUAAGUCUCCUGAAGGAACGUUGAAGACGACGACGUUGAUAGGCCGGGUGUGUAAGCGCAGCGAUGCGUUGAGCUAACCGGUACUAAUGAACCGUGAGGCUUAACCUU